rnacentral:rRNA from 1 species
CUGAACCAGCCAAGUAGCGUGAAGGAUGACUGCCCUAUGGGUUGUAAACUUCUUUUAUACGGGAAUAAAGUGAGGCACGUGUGCCUUUUUGUAUGUACCGUAUGAAUAAGGAUCGGCUAACUCCGUGCCAGCAGCCGCGGUAAUACGGAGGAUCCGAGCGUUAUCCGGAUUUAUUGGGUUUAAAGGGAGCGCAGACGGGAGAUUAAGUCAGUUGUGAAAGUUUGCGG